UGGAGGAUGAGCAGCAAUGGAGUUCAUUCCGCUGAUAACUGCACUUAUAAAAGGAAACAGAGGAAGACAGCAGAGAGGAGAAGGUGGUGCAAAGAUAGAGAGGUAGAGUUUGGAGCUCUGUAGCCAUAAGUUCAAGAAUGCCUAGAGCCUCCAGAAGCUAAAAGGCCAUUGCCUUGCCUGGAUUUAGGACUCUGGCCUCCAGAGCUGUGAAAGAAUACAAUUCUACUGUAAACCACCUAGUUGGUGGUUAUUUGUUACAGCAGCCCUCAAGUGGGCACACAGAACAAGGCCAAGGUGAUGCACCAAAAGUACCUCUUGUUUGCAUUCACCUUUUGCAUUUACCAAAAUAUCCAACAGGAACAACUUUGAGGAGUAAAAGUGAUUUGGGCUCAUGGUAUCAGAGGUCUCGGUUCAGAGACAGCCAACUCCAUUGUUCUGAGUCCAAGGUGAAGCAGCUUGGGAAAUAGGAAGGGUCCAGCAGAGGAAAGCUGCUCAUCCAGUGGCAGGGCCACAAAGAUGCGUGGUCUGCACAGAAGACGCAUCUCCUCCAGCCAUGCCCCACCUGACUACAGUUGCCAUCCAUUUCAUCCAUUUAAAUUAAGAUAGACUGAUUAGAUUACAGCUCUCCCAAUCAAAUCAUAUUACCUCUGAAUAUUUAUGCAUUAACAGCAGCUUUGAGGAGACACCACACCCCCAAACCAAAAUACCUCCCAGGGACAGAAAUGCCACAGAAGGAAAUAAGUGUCCCCAAUAACAGGAACAAGUCAUAUAACAGAAGGAACAAGUCACAUGUCCAGAAGCUUUCAUGUCAUUAAAUUUAUGUAUUUGAAUUGUAUUCCCUCUUGUUGGUUUUAAAACUGUGUGAUACUAGAAGUUAAAAUGUUAC
rnacentral:lncRNA from 1 species